AUUGAACGCUGGCGGCAGGCCUAACACAUGCAAGUCGAGCGACCGGCGGACGGGUGAGUAAUGUCUGGGAAACCGCCUGAUGGAGGGGGAUAACUACGGGAAACGGUAGCCAAUAUCGCCUACCAUCAGAUGUGCCCAGAUGGGAUUAGCUAGUAGGUGGGGUAACGGCCCACCUAGGCGACGAUCCCUAGCUGGUCUGAGAGGAUGACCAGCCAAACUGGAACUGAGACACGGUCCAGACUCCUACGGGAGGCAGCAGUGGGGAAUCUUGCGCAAUGGGCACAAGCCUGAUUCAGCCAUGCCGCGUGUGUGAUGAAGGCCUUCGGGUUGUAGAGCACUUACAGCGGGGAGGCGUUACCCGCAGAAGAGGCACCGGCUAACUCCGUGCCAGCAGCCGCGGUAGUUC
rnacentral:rRNA from 1 species